ACACUCCUGCGGGAGGCAGCAGUGGGGAAUAUUGCACAAUGGGCGCAAGCCUGAUGCAGCCAUGCCGCGUGUAUGAAGAAGGCCUUCGGGUUGUAAAGUACUUUCAGCGGGGAGGAAGGCGAUAAGGUUAAUAACCUUGUUGAUUGACGUUACCCGCAGAAGAAGCACCGGCUAACUCCGUGCCAGCAGCCGCGGUAAUACGGAGGGUGCAAGCGUUAAUCGGAAUUACUGGGCGUAAAGCGCACGCAGGCGGUCUGUCAAGUCGGAUGUGAAAUCCCCGGGCUCAACCUGGGAACUGCAUUCGAAACUGGCAGGCUAGAGUCUUGUAGAGGGGGGUAGAAUUCCAGGUGUAGCGGUGAAAUGCGUAGAGAUCUGGAGGAAUACCGGUGGCGAAGGCGGCCCCCUGGACAAAGACUGACGCUCAGGUGCGAAAGCGUGGGGAGCAAACAGGAUUAGAAACCCGGGUAGUCCCA
rnacentral:rRNA from 1 species